UUUUUUAUAUUUCUUAGUAUUUUAUACAAAAAUAAUAUUUUUUUUUAUUGGAAGUUCGCAUCUUACUUGUCUCGCACUGGCCCUUAUAUCUUUGGUCAUUAUUUUCCCUAUUCUCGGAUACCCCUUUGGUUCUCUAAAAUUUGAAACUCUUUUUUCUUCCAUAUUUAGGCACUGGCCAUGACAUUGGGAUAUCUGUUGGCGGAUGUGUCACAGGCAGCGGUAAUGGCGAUCUCAUACCUUUGGACAAGAACUCUUUCGCUUUUCUUCAUGUUGGUGAUUACAGACGUCUCCAAGUUUUAGAAGGCUGUAAAGGUGUUUUGGGCCCCAAAACAUAUGAGAGUGAUUCUUUAUCAGAAGAGGAAUUGCUUGAAAAUUACAAAAUUCUAAGGCAAAUAUGAUAAUAUCAGCUACAAGCCUAUAUAACUCUCAUUUGAUUCAAUGAUUGUGAGAUACAACAUUAGAUUAGUUUGGUGCAAGAGCCGAGUUGAGAUUCCAAACCAGAAAGGGAUAUGCAAUAAAAAUACUUGCAAUCUAAAAGAAGUGACCGAAGACAUUGGCCGAAGCAUAUGCUUCAUGCAAAUUUUUAGUGAAUGGAGUAGGGCACACCUUGCUGCUGUUAGUGUCUCCUACUAAAAGAUGUUCAGAAAACGAUUAAAGAAGCUCUAGGAUGCUUUGCCUUUGGACAAAGCGGCACCUCAAGUCAAUUGCUGCUGCGUAUUGGAAACCUCAGUUUAAUUCGUUGUUGAAUCCAUUGCAUUCACCGGCCAAUAUAAAUGGAACAGGAAGUGGAAAUAUAGUUUCAUCCCAUAUCGGUAUGUCAUUUAAUCUAAGUUGGAAAUUACACCUCAGCCGUGGUUCGGGAUGGAAGGAUUCCUACUUUCCGCCAGCAGGCGUCUUAAGACACUUAAUGGAGUUCAGCGACAACUCGAGCUCUUGAUUCUAAAGUAACAUCUGCCUCUGAGCCAACAACGAAGGAUGAGCUUCAAUCUCAACUGCAUCUGACCCAACAACGAAGGACAAGAGCUUCAAUUGUUUUUAGAUGUGGGUGCAAAAGUCGAUGUAUUUUCCAGUGUCGAACCAAGAAUCUUCAAAUGGGAAUUAAAAAAAAAAAAUCAGUGCUGAACAGUUGAAGUUGAAACAUUUGAGCAUGAAGUUGGAGAAUACACAGAUGAUGAAGACAAUGAACGUGAAACAUUAAAACUAACUUUAUAAUGUCGUAAUACGAAUUUGUGUGGUAAGGCAACUAUUAGCAGCAAGAAAAGUGGAAGAUAAGGAAGAUUAGCUUCGAGUUGCUAUUUUUUACACUCUAGUCAAGAGCGGUGACAAGUUUAGUAAGCACAUAAUUGAUGGUGGCAGUUCUAUGAAACCGAUAUCAGUCUACAAAUCAAAGUUCGAUCACAUCCGCAGCCUUACAAGAUCACUUGCCUGGAAAAAACCACCAUUCCAGUAACAUAUCCUGCUCUUGUUUCUAUUUCUAUGGGCUAUAAAGAUGAUAUCUGGGUUGAUAGUGUGCCUAUGACUGUUAGAUGUAUUCUUUUCGCUAGACCACGUGCGAAGGCCAAUAUUUAGUACUUUCUGUUCAACAAUAAGAAAGUAGUAUUGAAGAAGCCUAUGCCCGAGGAAGUACUCAAGAAGUAUACCAAGGAAAAUAUGAAGAUUACUGAACCUGCAAAGAUAAGUUUAAGCAGAAAGUAAAUAGAAAGAGGCUAUUGAUGCUUGAGUAGAAUGAUCUACAUCCUAAAUUGUAUGUAUGUCCAAGUAAUUGGAUUUGAGUAAUCGCAGAGGGAUCAUUCAAUAUGCAAAGAUUUCAGUAUCAUAAAUGCAGCAUUAAUGGAUGGACAACUAGGUGAUAUCCAUCCUGUUCCAUACAUGGUGGUUACCUAUUUAAAGAUGCUUUUGCCUUCCAAAUACUUCAUCUCUUCUCCAUCAAGAGAUGAAGUAAUAUUAGACUUACAUUCUGCUGAGGCAGCACAACAUUUUCGACGUGACAAAACUAUAGCCAAGGUGGACAGAUUGAUAAGGCCCAGCUUGCAGAGAGAUGUAGCAUGCAUUGUCCAAAAAUUCAGCACUCGCCAACAUGAUGAAGUUCGUAGGAAAAUUAUAUUUAGCAACAGAAGCUAAGAAAAAAAAAGAGG